CAAUAGCGUAUAUUAAAGUUGUUGCGGUUAAAAAGCUCGUAGUUGGAUUUCUGCUGAGAACGACCGGUCCGCCCUUUGGGUGUGUAUCUGGCUCUUUCUUGGCAUCUUCUUGGUGAACGUUGCUGCACUUGACUGUGUGGAGCGCUACCCAGGACUUUUACUUUGAGGAAAUUAGAGUGUUUCAAGCAGGCAUACGCCUUGAAUACAUUAGCAUGGAAUAAUAAGAUAGGACCUCGGUUCUAUUUUGUUGGUUUCUAGAGCUGAGGUAAUGAUUAAUAGGGAUAGUUGGGGGCAUUCGUAUUUAACUGUCAGAGGUGAAAUUCUUGGAUUUGUUAAAGAUGGACUACUGCGAAAGCAUUUGCCAAGGAUGUUUUCAUUG
rnacentral:rRNA from 1 species